rnacentral:lncRNA from 1 species
UAUGUCAAACCAUGGGAAUUAAAUUGAUUGAAGGCUCCUGAAGAGCAACUAUAACUCUGCCUAAAGGAACAAUAUUUUAGAGAAUGUAAUGUUCUCCUCCAAGUCUAAGAGGAACUUGUUGAGUUUUAAUGAUAUCAGUCAAAAUAUUCUCCUCCAAGUCUAAGAGGAACUUGUUGAGUUUUAGAGAUAUCAUUCAAAAU